rnacentral:rRNA from 1 species
AUCAACUUUCGAUGGUAGGAUAGAGGCCUACCAUGGUGGUAACGGGUAACGGGGUGUUAGGGCACGACACCGGAGAGGGAGCCUGAGAAACGGCUACCACAUCCAAGGAUGGCAGCAGGCGCGCAAAUUACCCAAUCCCGACACGGGGAGGUAGUGACAAUAAAUAACAAUACGGGGUCCUUUCGGGUUUCGUAAUUGGAAUGAGUACAAUUUAAAUCUCUUAACGAGGAACAAUUGGAGGGCAAGUCUGGUGCCAGCAGCCGCGGUAAUUCCAGCUCCAAUAGCGUAUAUUAAAGUUGUUGCAGUUAAAAAGCUCGUAGUUGAAUUUCGGGACUAGUACGCUGGUCGUGCCUUCGGUAUGUACUGGUGUUACUGGUUCCUACCUUCUGACGAACCGUCAUGUCAUUAAUUUGGUGUGGCGGGAAAUCAGGACUGUUACUUUGAAAAAAUUAGAGUGUUUAAAGCAGGCUCGCGCUUGAAUACAUUAGCAUGGAAUAAUGAAAUAGGACGUUCGAUCCUAUUUUGUUGGUUUCUAGGAUUGACGUAAUGAUUAAUAGGGAUAGUUGGGGGCAUUAGUAUUCAAUUGUCAGAGGUGAAAUUCUUGGAUUUAUUGAAGACUAACUACUGCGAAAGCAUUUGCCAAGGAUGUUUUCAUUAAUCAAGAACGAAAGUUAGGGGAUCGAAGACGAUCAGAUACCGUCGUAGUCUUAACCAUAAACUAUGCCGACUAGGGAUCGGAUGAUGUUAUUUUUAAUGACUCAUUCGGCGCCUUACGGGAAACCAAAGUGUUUGGGUUC